GUUACUUAACUUCUUUCCAAUGUUUAAAAAAAUAACCCACUCACUAUGCAUCUGUAUUGACUUUUUAUACAGUUGCUUUUUAUCCAGUUGCGUUCAUAUGUUUACAUGCCCUGUCAGAAUUUGUAAAAUUCAUCAUGAAUAGUCAGCCAAAACAUUCUAGGAUUCAAUUUAAACUAUGAGGUACUUUGUUAUAGCACAGUCAAGAAACACUAAUGAAAGAAACUGAGUUGGUCCCACUGUUGGUUAUAUUUUCAGAAAAUUUCCCAGUAUUUCACCACGGAAAUUAAAGUAUAAGCACAAAAGUGCUUCUUAACGAAAUGCAAACAUUUACAGUGAAGAAAAUAAUGGAUACUUUUCUAUCCAUCCAUUUUCAGCACUGCUUGUCCUCUUUAGGGCUACAGGUCUGCUGGCGCCUAUCUCAGUUUACUGUUUCUGAGAGGCAGGGUAUACCCUGAACUGGUCACCACCCAAUUGCAGGGCAUACGUAUAAAAGCAAACACUCAUAUUCACACUUAUGUACAAUUUAGGGAAUUUCAAUUAACCUAAAAUGCAUGUUUUGGGAAUGUGGGAGAAAUCUAGAGUACCUGGAGAAAUCCUAUGUAGGCAGUGGGAGAGCAUGCAAACUCGACACAGGUGAGGCCGAAUUUUAACCUGCGUCCUCAGAACUUCAGCCCUGUGGUCUAACCAUUCAUUCACCGUGUCAAACUCAUGCAUUUGCAGUAUGGAAAAUGGAAACUAUUGUGUGAAACCAUAUUCAUGUUUACUUUCAGACCUUGUUUCUAAAAAUAAAAUUACAAAAAUGAACAGAUCAGUCUUUUUGUUAAGGUGCUCGUAAGUGCAGUGACAAUAUUGCUGUGAGCAUACAAAAUAUUAUGUAAUGGUUUUGGUGAAUACUUAAUUCUGAUUGCCUCAGAAAAUUUCCCCUUUGAAUAUCUCAAGUAGUCCCUGUCAAACCAUCAUUACAUUAUUCCAAAUUAAUUUGGGGCACCCUAAACUGUUAGAUUAUACAAACAAAGAUGUCCACAGUCACAGCCAAGAUAAAUGGAUUUUUUUCUGAAAACAUGAAGUACUCUGAGGAUGGAAAUUAAUGAUUUAAAACAAUAACAACUGAUUUACUUUUUGGUGAUUACAAUUUAUUAGAUUAUUGGGAUGCCGUGAUGGAAAAAAGUUACAAUUCAAGUGGCACAAAGAGUUAACGCAUUAAGAUGGACUGUCAUACACUAACUUGGGAGAAAAGAAUUAGUGCUGACCUACUAAUUUGCCUUGGCUUGGCAAUGCCAGGUGGACUUGAUGAGGGUCGGCGGGGUCCAUGCUUUGGCAAAAUUAUUCUGUGAGGUAACGUUGAGAGAAUAAGGACCAUAAUAGCAGAUGUGGUUUGGUAGCGUACACUCUAUUUAAUAAAAAGUAGUAAAAACAUACAGGAGAAAGGGAAACUAAAAGUGGAUGUUACAGGUGAACAGAAGCAGUAACAGUACAGGACAUAACAUAGGAAACAUUGAAAAUAAAGUCAGCAUAAACUAGGACUAAUAAUCCUGUUCUAAAACAAAUAGGUGGACAGGGCCACCGCAAAAGGAUGAAGCCAACAGAAAAACAAAAACUAAAGGGAUUCUACCACGAGAUUGGAACGAGGACAAUAGAGGAGAGCAAUGCGAUGCAAUAAUCUGCAUCCCUUCUUUUGCUUCUGUUAUAUUUAAUGGCCAAUUAAUCAUCAUUGCCAUCAGAUGUGCAACAGGACCCCGUGUCCAGCAGCACUCAGCCGGGUAACAGGAAACUGAAACGGAAAGAAAAAGAAACAAAAAAAGUUAGGAGAGAACGGGGGCAUGACAAUAAAAAACCUUUUAUAAUAAUAAAUUAUAAUCUGAAGCUUGCUACACUUUACAAAAUUUUGAGAUUUAGAGGACAAAUGCUAAAUUAAAACCAGAACACACGCAAAAUACAACCAAGAGUGUAAUUUUAUAGUAUAUUUAACCCCAGAAAACACAACUUUCUUAAUCCCGCUGCAUUGCCAAGAGGACAGCCACAAGUUUCUGUGGUUUAAAAUUACCAACUGGUCAUCAACAAUUAUCUACCUUUUCCAAAUGCAGCCAGUUUUCCAUAUUUACCAUACACAGAUGUGAAAUGCUUUAAGUGCUUGACUGAUUGUCUAAUAGGGACAUCGGAAUGUGGUCAUCCACAAUGCUUAUCUUGGGGUAGGGCGGAGGGGGGAUCAUCAAAAGUUUGGGUCAAAAACACCUUGUGUGAUGUUGAAAAUAGCAUAGGCAAGUUGAUGAUUAUUUUUCUCAAAAUAAUUGGAAUGCAAUCGGGCCUUCCUCCAUUUUCUUCCAUAGUCCAUACUCAUACUCUUGUGCACAACUGUCAUUAACAUUUUGAUUUUUCAAUAUUGUUGUUUUUUUCCAUUUAUAUUAAAGUAUAUUGUUUUUAAUAUUUUUCUUGAUAGUCCUUAUAUAUACAUAACAAAUACAUUAUAUAUAUAUAACAUACUUUAAUGUAUAUGUUAAAUAUAUAACUUUAAUGUAUAUGUUAUUGAUACAUUUUUAUUUAUAAAUAUAAAUAUACACUGUAUAGCGCAACCAUGCAACACUGUGCGAGUGUGGCCAUUGUUAGUGUGUUGUAUAAAUUAACGAAAAACCCUGGUGAAAACAAAAUGGGAAAAUAAAACACCCUACUGGGUGUAGAGUGGUGGAGGGGUCAGUGUUGACGUGAAUGAUGACUGAACAAUAAAUAUUAGAUGGAUAAACAGCUCUUUCACAGCACAUAGAAGUUCACUUACUGAGUCAAUUAGGAAAUGAAUAUGGAGAAAGUCUACAGCACUCAGCAGGCUUUAGAUAUGAUCCUGAACCAAGUCAACCCUUGGGACUCCGAUGGAGAAGACAUUGCCCUUCAGUUGAGUUCGGACUCAGAAAUUUCAUAUGGUAAGAUUUCCUCUCUAUUUGCUGAUUAUGGUAGUUGUGUUUUAGGAAAAGACGAAAACAAUGCUAAAUCAAUACACAGUAUGCAUUCUAGUUUUGGAUUUAUAAAUCAAAUUAUAUCUUUGGAUCGAUUUCUAACAAUAGCUGCGGUUUUGAUGGCUCAAAUCGUAUUUCAUUGCUACCAUUUAUAAAAUAUGAUCACUAUGCAGGUGAGGAGACUUCAUCACCACCAGAAAGCAGACACACCGGGCAACAGAGAAGGCAAAAGACAGCACAGUGUGGUGUGAAAAACAGGUCAAAAGGAAUCUAUCACAGUCCAAAUGAAUUUUAGGUGCGGAUGGAGAGUCAGCUGCCUUGGUCAGAAGAACAGUGUCAAGUUGAUUACAGUGUUUCCUGUGUUUCAGUACACAUGUCAUACUUCAUAAUAUUCAGGAGUGGAUGAUUCUGCAUAGAACCCAGACACAGCAUGACAGUUGUUCAUAGCCCUUCCUGAAUAGAAUAGAACUAAUGUAGGUGUUCAAGUUCUGGGUGGCAAGUGACUUGAAAUCCAAGUAUGUGUGCAAUAUCGUCCCAUAUCUUGGCAAUGACUCCGGUCGUCUUGUGAGAGAGAAACCAUCUGAAAAUGUGGUGAUGAAGUUAAUGGAACCAUUCAUGGACAAAGAAAGAACAGUUACCACAGACAACCUAUUCACGUCAUCACUUGCACAACCACUGCUCAACUGGAAGACCACGCUCCUUGGUACGAUCAAUAAGAUUUGCCGGGAGGUUCAAUCAGACAAAAAGAUAACAGUCUGCAAUUAAUUGGGCACUCAGGCAUUUUAUGGCUGUUGUGACUUGUACUCCGGAGCAACGUAUAGUCCGGUAUGCAUGUAAAUGCUGGAAUGGAAACAACAGAAGAAAGUUGUUGUUGCCAUCAGAGUCAAUAUAUUCACCAGAAAAUGGCACAUUAUCCAGACCACCCACUACAGUGCACCCAGGAUUUAUUGCCAGCUCUCUGAACUCAUGAGUAUAAUUUAGGCAACCGUAUCGGCAGUGACUGGAUUUUCCAUAACACGAGUCUACAGUGCUUAUAGACAGCUUGCGAGAUGGUGUUGAGGAAUUAAUUGUAGGUGGAAAAAAAACACGUGCCACUUCCAUCCUGCUGUGUGUCUAAAAUUUGUGGCAGAUGGCCAAGAGUACAUGGGAUUUAAUAGUUUAACUUAUUUAAUAUUCUGAAUUUUUUUUGUCUUUGUGUAAAUGUGAAUAUAUGUUUAUGAAGUGAACAAACACCACAGACCUACAAUCAUGGCAUUUUUAUUGAACUGUAUGCUUACAUUGUGGAUAAAUGUGUUUUUCUCAUAACAUUUUCACUGAAUGCUUAUUUGGUCUGUCAAUAUGAGCAUCUUGAGGCCACCUGAGGUUGAAAUCCAUGUUGCAGCAUUCUCUACUUUCAGAAAGAUAUGUGUUCCUUUCUCAUAAACAGGCUUUUCAUCAGUCUGGCAACCUUUGGAAUGUACCAAAGAUGGAGGUUCCGUAUUUGCUGGUUCGACAUCAACCUCUUGUGGAGAAGAUGCCUCCUGCAACAUCUACAAUUAAUAUGGAAAAAUAACGUUCAAAGCUUAUAAAAUGAGGGAAAAAAAAACGUUUGGAUAAAGCAGAGGUUUAUUUCAUGGUGCACACAUUAUUUUUUAUGUCUCCUAUUCUGUGAGUGACGAGUAUACUGCUUGUGUUAAUGCUAUGUAGUAUUUUAUCAAAAUAAAAAACC